rnacentral:lncRNA from 1 species
AGAGAGUUAGUCUAGUGGCAGAGCAAGAAUGAUUCUUCCUCUUUCAUGAGUAGCUUUACUUGUUUUAAAGACUCAUCCCCUAUCAUCACUAAUCUUUCUGUGUGUUUACUUAGGUUCCAGAGCUCUAAAUCUGGGAAGAUCUACCUCCAUAGAGAUGUCCGGCUCCUGUUCUCUAGAAAGUCCAUGGAGGUUGAUAGCGGUGCUGCUUAUGAACUCAAGUCUUACACCGAAUCGCCAACAAACCCACAGUUUUCACCAAGAUGCUGAUAAGGGAGACGGAUUAAAAGUAUUUGCUCAGUACCCAAGCUUGAACGUGAGCAUUCACCGAGUGGAAUACAUCCAAUGAGAGCCAGUGGAGUGGAGUGGCCCUCCUCUUGUCCUGGACCAGAUUUUAUUAAAGGACCCCUGAACUGAGACCCAUGACUCCUAAGUGGACUGGAAGCACCCCUGUCUUCACCCUUUUCGUACUGUUGAAACCACUUCAUUGGACAGUUGCAAUAGCAAAAUCCCCAGUUAGAUUAGUGUUUACACAUUUUAUUUCUGUUAUUUAAUAUUUAAUGUUUUCCUUAAUAGUCAAGUGAUGUUUGUCUCUAGUGUUCUAAUGUAGCACAAUCUAUGUAAAAUCAUACUAUGUAUUUUUGACAUUAAUGUUGAAAUUGAAAUAUAUGCAUAAGUCUUU